GGUCGAGGACACCACGGAUGAGUUACAAGAGCAGCUUAAAAGUCUGGAGAACGGAGGAAGUCAAAAAAGGACUACUCGGCGGCGAUCUUCGAGAGGAAGAAGUCGUCCAGCCGGUUGGUGGUCGACGAGGCCAUGAAUGACGACAACUGCUGAAGGUAUGAGCAUCAGCGCUAUUUUUCUUCUAUUUUGGUCGAAUUCUGAGGGCACGCGUUGUUAUUUAGGAUGCUGAUCUGUGGCACCAAACUGAUCCCGUCACUCAACUAGCUCUAAUCGAGUAAGUAGAUCAUUGUUAGUCUGAUUGAGUAAGUAGGUACACCUGCCAAAUGUUCUGCUAGGCAAAGUGCAACAGGCAGAUGCUGCAUUAUGGGCCUUGGUAAGUCUGCAUUUUUUUUCCACCCUCUUAUGAUUAUUUUCCCCUACCUAGGUAACUAGCAGGCUUUAUACAUGGAGCAGAACAUAGCAAGUUGGUAGACUAGAUACUCUUUUCAGUUUUUAGAGUUGCCUUUGGUGCUGUAAGUUAGGUCACUAGAUUUUAGAGUUCCUGGUGGUAUUUUCCAGCUGUAGCUUGCCUUUCACUUGCUAACUAUAACUACUAUUCUAUUCUGAUAUACUUUACAUGUGGUCUUGCCUUAUAAUGCUGGAAAUUUAUUCUGAUGUAUGUUCCCAUCAUGCAGAAUAGGUAAUUUGUUGUGCAACACACAACGAGGAUACGAUUGGAUACUGUAAGGACCCUUGAUACACAUGGCCUAUUAUUUGGAUAUUGCUUUGAACUAACUAAAUUAACAUCUCAAAACAAGUAGCCAAGUUUGAUUCCUUGAUCUCUAUACAACAUUUGUUACAUUCUUUUUCUUUCAUUAUGAUUGUGUGCAGAUAGGUAAAUUUAAUGGGUGGCCAUACAGGCAAUGAUCUGUUCUCUAAUCCUACCUCUUUACAAAGCUCCUUGCUUUCUUCCAACUAUGCCUGUUUUCUCACAAUAGAUUGGUUUGCCUUGUCUGAGCUUAACACAGAAUCCAUGCAUGCUUGAUAAUUUAUAGGUGCAAUCUUCAGUUGAUGAACGUCAGAGGGCUUGGCAUAGGCCAUGUCAAGAGCCACCUCCAGAUGUACGCACGAGAAUCGACGACUCGGGCCAGAAGCCUGAUUAAUAGACUGGCAGACGUAUCAAAGUCUAGAAGGAACACCAGAGUAUAGUCCAAUCAACAUCGACAUGGACAGCCUCAACUGGAGGAACGACAAGAUCUGUGGCCCCGCAAGAAAAACAAAGCAGAUUGGGUAGGAUCGGCGACACGAGGACCAUAUGGGUAUCUGUACUUAACACACUUCGACCUAAAUUGCGUCUAUGGAAAUGAAUUCACCAUGAAGGCGGCGCAAGUUCAGCAUCUGCAGCACAUCAUUGGUUCAGCCAACCUAGAUAUCAGCAACCAAGUCUAUGCUAUGAAUAAAACUUUCACUUCAACAAAAAGAAUGGCCCUCGAAUGCCUUGUUGAUAAUUUAUCGCACGGGAAAGGGUUUUUUAUCAACAUAUAUGUAUCAAUCUUUUUCAUAUAUGGAGGAACGUGCUGCAUAGAAAUGGAUCUUUCAAGACGUAGCUCAUGCCAAGAUAAAUGGAGAUUGUCUAUAUUUGUUCAAUGAAUACAUGUGAAAGUAAAAGGAACGAAAAGACCGGCAACGCACCGGGAUUGUACCAGUAAUACUUAAUUUCCAGUUGUACAUACGUCGCGUCGCCUCCCGCAAAAGAAAACCCACGCCCGACCUACCCCUUCGAUGGAAAAAAGAAAUCUGACUCCUCUUCGACCCGAUGGCAAAAAGAAAAAUUGAAAUCCUCCUUCAACCCUGCGGAGGAAGAUGAGAUCCAGGCAGCGGCGGGAUAAGGCGACGGCCGCCGCAUCGGGAUCUACCGCCGUUCCUUGCCACCGCCUCCUGGCGGCGUGAGCCAAAGCCUGUCCCUGGGUCGUGUGUCCCGUACGACCUUGACGGCUCACCGGUAGCGAUGGUGUCGAGUCUGAGCAUCAGCAGGCGAUUCAGGCGGCCCUGGCUCCAUUCGUGGCGUUGCGGGGGAGGACGGCCUGCUGGAUCUGAGGCCGUGCAUGCGGGGGAUGGAAGGGAGAUGCGUCGCCAUCGCGCUCUCCUGGAUGCCGUCAAGAUCUGCCUCCCUCGACACCACCACGAACACCUGCUGGACUUCUCGCUCACCUGCGACGAAUCAGCCCGCCUCAUCUUCAUCAACACCUUGUUCUCUUCCCCAGCCCUUCACAGCGCCAUGGCCAUGGCAACAAUCCUUCUCUUUCCUGCGGCAUGCGGACAAUCCAUAAGUAGAGCCCGCUUGCGAAACCCUAGCGGGAGGGUUGGGACUGUUCCGCGAGAUCCUAGGAGACGAGGUUGCGGGGGACUUGGAGGCACGGAUUUAUGUGUUUGGCCGAUGGCGGCGGCGGGAUGGAGAUGGGGCCGACUGCGGCGGCGGGGCCGUUGAUGGAUGUGUCGGUAAUGCUUGACGGCAACCGGUACGACCUGGUUCGUUACAUCGAGGCCGGCAACUUGGGCGUAGCCCACCAUAUGCGCUGACUCGAAUACAACGACCACGGCGAGAAGUGUGUGUGUGCAGUGCAGAGGGAAAUCAUCAACCACAGGUUGCUGCAAUCAAAUCUUCUGAAACAUGAAUGUUUAAUUCAGAAGUGGAUAAGCAAGGCCCUUUCAAGUUUUGCUCCACCAUGUUGUGUGAAUGGCUGGGUGUAAAAGGCACUUAGGCGGUGAAUCAGAUUGAAAACAUGUUUGCCAAGCAUCUUGGAUAAAUUAUCCUUCUGCCUUAAUCAGGAUUGACCAUAAUGAACUCGGUCAAGCUCAGGAGGACAUAGAUCAUCUCCUCCGUGGUGGCCCGCCAGGUGUGGACGGUUGUUUUGGGACAUUGGGACAGAACUAGCUGGGCUCCGACGGGUCAUCAGACUCUUGCUAGCUGGUGGACGGGUUUGAAGAUCGCUAACAAGAAGGAGAGGAAGAACUUGAACACGGCGGUAACUCUUGUUUGUUGGAGUGUUUGGAAGCAUCGGAAUGUUGUGGUCUUUGAUGGCGCCACCCCGAGUGUGAUGCAGAUUCUUAGUGACAUAGGUCGGGAGAGCAGCGCUUGAAGAAGGGCUGGCUUGCUUAAGGAGAAUUACCCCCCUUUAGUAAUUUUGGUUUUGUGGAUCUUAUGUGGACCUUGAGUGACUGGUUGUGUAUGACCGCCUUGGGCGUGUAACUGCUUCGCGGAUUUCUUCUUUAAUAUAUGAUAUACCCGUCGAGGUAUAUUCUAGAAAAAAAUUUAAUCAGGAUGAACUCCUAUGGUACAUGGACACUGGGUAGCAUGUAAGUGGAGAAUUGAGAUGCCUCCCUUCUAUGUUUCGUUGC